rnacentral:rRNA from 1 species
UAACGCGUGGGUAACCUGCCUCACACUGGGGGAUAACAGUUAGAAAUAGCUGCUAAUACCGCAUAAGCGCACAGUUCCGCAUGGAACAGUGUGAAAAACUCCGGUGGUGUGAGAUGGACCCGCGUCUGAUUAGCCAGUUGGCGGGGUAACGGCCCACCAAAGCGACGAUCAGUAGCCGGCCUGAGAGGGUGAACGGCCACAUUGGGACUGAGACACGGCCCAAACUCCUACGGGAGGCAGCAGUGGGGAAUAUUGCACAAUGGGGGAAACCCUGAUGCAGCGACGCCGCGUGAGUGAAGAAGUAUUUCGGUAUGUAAAGCUCUAUCAGCAGGGAAGAAAGUGACGGUACCUGAAUAAGAAGCCCCGGCUAACUACGUGCCAGCAGCCGCGGUAAUACGUAGGGGGCAAGCGUUAUCCGGAUUUACUGGGUGUAAAGGGAGCGUAGACGGCAAGGCAAGUCUGAAGUGAAAGCCCGGUGCUUAACGCCGGGACUGCUUUGGAAACUGUUUGGCUGGAGUGCCGGAGAGGUAAGCGGAAUUCCUAGUGUAGCGGUGAAAUGCGUAGAUAUUAGGAAGAACACCAGUGGCGAAGGCGGCUUACUGGACGGUAACUGACGUUGAGGCUCGAAAGCGUGGGGAGCACACAGGAUUAGAUACCCUGGUAGUCCACGCCGUAAACGAUGAUUGCUAGGUGU